rnacentral:rRNA from 1 species
CCCGCACAAGCGGUGGAGUAUGUUGUUUAAUUCGAAGAUACACGAAGAACCUUUACCAGGUCUUGACAUACCAUUGAUAGGCGCAGAGAUGUGCUCUCCUUCGGGCAAUGGAUACAGGUGGUGCAUGGUUGUCGUCAGCUCGUGCCGUGAGGUGUUGGGUUAAGUCCCGCAACGAGCGCAACCCUCAUUGUUAGUUACUACCAUUCAGUUGAGGACUCUAAUGAGACUGCCAACGAUAAGUUGGAGAAGGUGGGGAUGACGUCAAAUCAUCAUGCCCUUUAUGACCUGGGCUACAAACGUACUACAAUGGCCAAUACAAAGAGAUGCGAAGCGGUGACGUGGAGCGAACCUCAGAAAGUUGGUCUCAGUUCAGAUUGAAGUCUGCAACUCGACUUCAUGAAGGCGGAAUCGCUAGUAAUCGCGGGUCAGCAGACCGCGGUGAAUACGUUCCCGGGUUU